ACAGAUCACGUAGGGAAUUAUUGGUUGAACAAACCAUCUUUAUAUAACUUUUGCGCUAUAUAGAUACCCUAAGCCAACAUCGAGGUGCCAAACCCCACUGUUGAUAAGGACUCUUGAGUGGGAUUAGCCUGUUAUCCCUAAGGUAGCUUGGUUUUGUGAUCUUUUAAGGGUCAUUUGUUUGAUUAAUUUAUCUUUUAUAUGAUGGGUGAUUAUUUAGCCCUGGGUCGCCCCAACCGAAUAUUUUUAUAGUAUAGUUCUAUAGGUAAAAUUAAGCUCUAUAGGGUCUUCUUGUCCUUCGAGUUUAUCUACUUUUCUUCAGGUAGAAAAUAAUUUUUAGUUAAUUAAUUGAGACAGUCUUUAUUUCGUUAACCCCUUCAUUCUAGCCUACAAUUAAUAGGCAAGUGAUUAUGCUACCUUUGCACGGUUAGGAUACCGCGGCCGUUGAACAGUUGUCACUGGGCAGGUAUUAUCUCAUAUAUUAUACAUGAGACAAUGUUUUUGA
rnacentral:rRNA from 1 species